ensembl:lncRNA
CGAAUGCAACAUUUCCACUGGAAAUACUACCAACCUCAAGAGACAAUCCUCCCAGUCUAUACGCUCAGGACUGGUUUCAACACAGUUGGGAAGAGGGGAUGACAACGCCUGUUCCCCCUCAGGAGGCUGAAAAGUUUUGGCAUGGGCCCUCAGAUCCUCAAAAAGUUACACAGCUGCACCAUUGAGAACAUCUUGACUGGCUACAUCACCGUUUGGCAUGACAACUGCUUGGCAUCCGACCACAAGGCGCUACAGAGGGUAGUAUGUACUAUCCUAACACAUCACUGGGGCCGAGUUCCCUGCCAUCCAGGACCUCUAUACCAUGCAGUGUCAGAGGAAGGCUCUAAAAAUGGUCAAAGACUCCAGUCACCCAAGUCAUAAACUGUUCUCUCUGCUACCACACAGCAAGCAGUACAGAUGCACAAAAUGUGGAAUCAACAGGUCCUUGAACAGCUUCUAUCCCCAAGCCAUAAGACUGCUAAAUAGUUACUUAAAUAGUUAACCAAAUCGCUACCCAGACUAUCUGCAUGAACCCUUAUUGCACAAACCUUUUUUAACUCAUCACAGACGCUGCUGGUAAUGUUUAUUAUCUAUCCUGUUGCCUAGUCACUUUAUUCCUAGUUAUAUGUACAUAUCUACCUCAAUUACCUCGUACCCCUGCACAUCGACUCGAUACUGUUACCCCGUGUAUAUAGCCAAGUUAUCAUUACUCAUUGUGUAUUUAUUAUUACUUUUAUUAUUACGUGUUCCACUUUUCUGUUAUUUCUCUGUUUUCUUUCUCUAUGCAUUGUUGGGAAGGGCCCAUAAGUAAGCAUUUCACUAUUAGUCUACACCUGUUUGCUUACAAAGUAUGUGACGAAUAACAUUUUAUUUUAUUUUAACGUCAGCGAUUACAAUGCAUAGACACCCUUUCAAUACGAGGUGUGAGCGAAUAAAUUGUAGAGCAAAUUAUCCUGCAAACCCUCUGAUAAAUAUACUGACCUGUUUGAGAAAAGGUGCAGACUCUACCCCAAUGUUUUACACUCAAAAUGCAGCUGGCUCAGACGCUCGGACUAACUGUAAUUCUAACAUAGCUG